rnacentral:rRNA from 1 species
CCUACGGGUGGCUGCAGUGGGGGAUAUUGCACAAUGGGGGCAACCCUGAUGCAGCGACGCCGCGUGUGGGAAGACGGUCCUCUGGAUUGUAAACCACUGUCCCCAGGGACGAAGAUGACGGUACCUGGGGAGGAAGCUCCGGCUAACUACGUGCCAGCAGCCGCGGUAAUACGUAGGGGGCAAGCGUUAUCCGGAUUUACUGGGUGUAAAGGGAGCGUAGACGGUAUGGCAAGUCUGAAGUGAAAGCCCAGGGCUUAACCCUGGGACUGCUUUGGAAACUGUUAGACUAGAGUGCUGGAGAGGUAAGUGGAAUUCCUAGUGUAGCGGUGAAAUGCGUAGAUAUUAGGAGGAACACCAGUGGCGAAGGCGGCUUACUGGACAGUAACUGACGUUGAGGCUCGAAAGCGUGGGGAGCAAACAGGAUUAGAUACCCUUGUAGUC